GCCCGAGUGGCGGAAUAGGUAGACGCACAGGACUUAAAAUCCUGCGGGCAUUAAAACCCGUGCCGGUUCAAGUCCGGCCUCGGGCACCA
rnacentral:tRNA from 2 species